CCUCAGUAGUUAGAUAACAAAACUACUCGCCAGAAUACUACGAGCUAUAGCUUAAAACUCAAAGGACUUGACGGUGCUUUACACCCCCUAGAGGAGCCUGUUCCGUAAUCGAUAAACCCCGAUCCACCCCACCCUCUCUUGCUCAGCCUAUAUACCGCCAUCUUCAGCAAACCCCAAUGAAGGUCACAAAGUGAGCGCAAACGCCAUCACCGCGAAUACGUUAGGUCAAGGUGUAGCCUAUGAGAUGGUAAAAAAUGGGCUACAUUUUCUACCUCAGAAAAUUCCACGAAAACCCUUAUGAAAUUUAAGGGCCCAAGGAGGAUUUAGCAGUAAAUUAAGAAUAGAGUGCUUAAUUGAACUAGGCCAUAAAGCG
rnacentral:rRNA from 1 species